CACUUCUAAGGAAGGCAGCAGGCGCGCAAAUUACCCAAUCCUGACUCAGGGAGGUAGUGACAAGAAAUAACAAUAAACCGGCUUAUGCCGGUUUAAUUGGAAUGAGUACAAUUUAAACAUCUUAACGAGGAACAAUUGGAGGGCAAGUCUGGUGCCAGCAGCCGCGGUAAUUCCAGCUCCAAUAGCGUAUACUAAAGUUGUUGCAGUUAAAAAGCUCGUAGUUGGAUUUCUGUGGGGACGGAGCGGCCGGCCGCAACUCGCGGUUCGAGCUAGCGCUUUCCCUACAUCCUGCCGCGAACCGUGCUACCAUUAGUUUGGUGGCGCCGGGGAUCGGCUCGAUUACUUUGAGAAAAAUAGAGUGUUCAAAGCAGGCCACACGCCUUGAAUAAGUUAGCAUGGAAUAAUAACUAAGGACUUCGGUUCUAUUUUGUUGGUGUUCGGGACUGAAGUAAUGAUUGAUAGGGACAGUUGGGGCGGUCUGUAUUCCAAAGCGAGAGGUGAAAUUCUUAGACCUUCGGAAGACAAACAGCUGCGAAAGCGUUCCGCAAGGAUGUUCCCUUUGAUCAAGAACGAAAGUUGGGGGAUCGAAGACGAUCAGAUACCGUCGUAGUCUCAACUAUAAACUAUACCAGCUAGGGAUCGGCCAACGUUAUUUAAACCGACUUGGUCGGCACCUUAUGAGAAAUCAAAGCAUCUGGGUUCCGGGGGGAGUAUGGUCGCAAGGCUGAAACUUAAAGGAAUUGACGGAAGGGCACCACCAGCCGUGGAGCCUGUGGCUUAAUUUGACUCAACACGGGAAAACUUACCAGGUCCAGACAUAGUAAGGAUUGACAGAUUGAUAGCUCUUUCUUGAUUCUGUGGGUGGUGGUGCAUGGCCGUUCUUAGUUGGUGGAGUGAUUUGUCUGGUUAAUUCCGUUAACGAACGAGACCCCAGCCUGCUAAAUAGCGCGCGUGAGCUUUGCUCGCGGCGAGCUUCUUAGAGGGACUAUGAUGCGCGAUAGCACAUGGAAGUUUGGGGCAAUAACAGGUCUGUGAUGCCCUUAGAUGUUCUGGGCCGCACACGGGCUACACUGGCGCCUGCAACGAGCAUAUCAGCUGGCCCGAGAGGGUCUUGGCUAAUCUUUUGAACUGGCGCCGUGCUUGGGAUUGACCUUUGCAAUUGUUGGUCAUGCAACGAGGAAUGCCUUGUAAACGCGAGUCAUCAGCUCGCAUUGAAUACGUCCCUGCCCUUUGUACACACCGCCCGUCGCUCCUACCGAUGAAUGUUCCGAUGAAAUUUUCGGAGAGCACCUGUGAACUUGGCUCCGCCUUGCGAACGGGAGGCUCAAAGUCACUUAAAUCUGAACAUUUCGAGG
rnacentral:rRNA from 1 species